AAAAAGUUGUUUCGGGCGGCCCCAGGCAUCGCCAGGUGGCCGCUUAGACAUCAACACCCUCUGUAUAUCUACCGCGUUGCUUUGGCGGGACGGCAGCCCAGCAGCCUGCUGGGAAGUGUCCGUAGGGCCUCUCCAAGGCCCCGUGAGCGCCCGCCAGAGAACCGUCAAGCUCAUGUUAAACCGUGGUGUCGAGCUUUACAAGCAAUAAAGUUA
rnacentral:misc_RNA from 1 species